CCUACGGGAGGCAGCAGUAGGGAAUAUUGGACAAUGGGCGAAAGCCUGAUCCAGCAAUGCCGCGUGAGUGAUGAAGGCGUUUUGCGUCGUAAAACUCUUUUGUGGGGGAAGAUAAUGACGGUACCCCAAGAAUAAGGACUGACUAACUACGUGCCAGCAGUCGCGGUAAUACGUAGAGUCCAAGCGUUACUCGGAAUUACUGGGCGUAAAGCAUGCGUAGGUGGCUUAGUAAGUUAAUAGUGAAAUACCAGGGCUCAACUUUGGUGCUGCUAUUAAUACUGCUUCGCUAGAGUUUGGUAGAGAGAAGUGGAAUUCCUGGUGUAGGGGUAAAAUCUGUAGAUAUCAGGAGGAAUGCCGGAGGCGAAAGCGGCUUCUUGGGCCAACACUGACACUGAGGCAUGAAAGCGUGGGGAGCAAACAGGAUUAGAUACCCUGGUAGUCCACGCCGUAAACGAUGAGUGCUACCUGUCGGGGUUUAUCUUCGGUGGGCAAAGCUAACGCGUUAAGCACUCCGCCUCGGUAGUACGGUCGCGAGACGUAGAAACGUUAAAUAGUAAGUUAGUACGGUCGUGUAGUUACGUUGUCCGACGGACGACCGACGAGGGGAGGAGGG
rnacentral:rRNA from 1 species